rnacentral:lncRNA from 1 species
AACCGUGGAAGAGACUCCGCUUCGCGGGAGGAGGCUCCCGGCUCCCGUGCCCGCUGCAGCGCAGGCCGGGAAAGCGCCCCCCACCUCCCCGCGACGGGCAGGGCGCAUCCCUCCCCCCGAGCCCCGCGGGGCCGGCCCCACUCGGAGCGGCUCUGUAGUCCCCGGCAUUUGCAGGCGGGAGGGACAGGAGGGGGCUCGGGGCCGAGCACACACACAGGUCCCAGGAGGAGGCUUUUCUCAGAGCGCAUCUGGGCCCCCCGCCCCCACCGCGCCGCUUCCCGGUUUGUCCCUUUAUCGCUCUCUCAAAGCCCAGCCGCGGGACGUGUUUCUGCUGCAACCGGCCGCCUUGGCUCCGCGCGCGAACUGCUGGACGCGCUGCCACGUGCGGUAACCACGCUCUCCUCCCGAGGCCAGCUCCGCCAGGUGCCCCCGCUCGCGUUCUCGUGCCCCCCAGCCUGCUCCCCGCUCUGCGCCCGGGCCCCGCGCGCCCCGCAGAAAGGAGCGCGUCGCGGGCGCGGGCACCUGGUGGUCCCCAGGCCCGCGGCGCAAAGGGCGCCCCGGGGAGCCAGUGCCCGCAGGAGCCGCGGCUCGCGGCGGGGCGCUUCUGGGUUCCCAGCACCAGGGGGCACCAGAAACCGCCCGAGUCCCUUAGCGCCCCCGCGAAUGAGAGGCUGCGUCGUCAUUCGAAGUCUAAGAUCCGAGAACAAGCACCCCCGCCCCGUGCCCCUGCCACAUCCAAGUUGCCCCCCGGAACUUCCGGAGGCGCUCACCAGCCUUCCAGCUUUCUGGGCUCCCACCCUCCAUCCUCUCUCCCCAGCUUUCCCCUUCCCACCUCACCUGAUCUGGUUUCUCGGUAACCUGCUUUUAGACUGCCCCCUCCCCCCAGGUCCCCCGCGUCACCUCGACAGCUUCCCCCGGGGUGAGCGCCCCCGCACCUUCCUCUGUCUCGCAGGCUGGGAGGUUUGUUUGGGCUUUGCCUUCAGGAUCCAGGUCUCAGGGAGAGACACGGGAGGCGGGGGAUGGGGGGGGGGCGUAACUCGGGGGUAG